GGGAGGUAGUGACAAUAAAUAACAAUACGGGGUUCUUUUGGAUCUCGUAAUUGGAAUGAGUACAAUUUAAAUCUCUUAACGAGAACCAAUUGGAGGGCAAGUCUGGUGCCAGCAGCCGCGGUAAUUCCAGCUCCAAUAGCGUAUAUUAAAGUUGUUGCAGUUAAAAAGCUCGUAGUUGAAUUUCGGGACCAUCAUGUCGGUCGUGCCUCGGUACGUACUGGCAUCGUCGGUUUCUCCCUUCUGACGAACCAUGAUGUCAUUUAUUUGGUGUCGUGGGGAAUCAGGACUGUUACUUUGAAAAAUUAGAGUGUUUAAAGCAGGCUCACGCUUGAAUACAUUAGCAUGGAAUAAUGAAAUAGGACGUUUGAUCCUAUUUUGUUGGUUUCUAGGAUUGACGUAAUGAUUAAUAGGGAUAGUUGGG
rnacentral:rRNA from 1 species